ensembl:processed_transcript
GCGGUGAUUGGGUUUCUGGGGACUGCAGGAGCUGUGAUUUACUGCUCCAAAGGGAGAAGACAACAAACUGGCACUGACUACAGUCAUGUAACGAAAACGGAGGAACAGUCACCUGGAGAAUCAGCAGAAACUUCAUCUUCAGGAGAUUCCCUUUAGGAAUAUUGAAUGACCAAAUUCACCUCCUAAUGCAGCUUUUCCCAGUUGUCAACGUUUGUCCAAUUUCUAGGUGUUGUUUGCAAAAGUCUUAACACAAUUAGGGAACCGUCAAUCUUUCUUGACCAAUACUUUUAACACAACUCAUGUUGUUUUCACACAAUAUUCAGUCAGUUAAUACAUUUCUAAAAUGCUUAUGUUUUUUCACAUAAGCUUUAACCAUAUCAAAAUGCAUUUUGCUAUGCAAGAAGUUUGUUGUAAUUUUUGACACUAAAUACAGUUUAACAUGAAUUUAAAAUCCCUCAAGUCAUUUUAGACUUGAACCAAACAAAGACCAAAGCAA